CCUGCAUCUACGGUCUCACAGCACAGAGAAAAGAAAUCCUGAUUAAAUCUGACAAUUUCAAUUUGCUAUGAGAACAUCAUGAGCUAUUUUAUGUUUCCCCAGAAGCUUGUUGGAAUUUACCUUGGAAGUUUUGGAGCUGGGUUUUCUUGGCGACAGCGGGGGCAGUCGUUUCUGAACAAACAAGAUUGAAAUUUGUGUCUCAGUGAAGUGGUGCUGGGAGAUUGUUUGUCCUGCUGCACCGGGGCCGUUUCCGACACUCGGUGCCAGCUGAACUUCCUCCAUGUGCUGGAGGUGGACAGGAAUGUGGUGCAUUCACAAGAUGUGCCUCAGCUGAGGUUGUGCUGUGCUCCAAAGGCAUCUCAGGCAGGGAUGAGUGUGGGAACUGCUGGGGACAUCUGCUUUGAGCUGAUGAGGAGCUGAGUUGUACCUGUGCUUUGGAGUCCAGGGGUGCUGAGCUCCUGCACCUAGCCAUGGCCAGGGGGUUCCUGCGAAUGCAGCAGCUGAGAACAAACAAACCAACAAAAACCCAGGUCUGCAGCUCUCUUGCACCAUCCUUUUCUCCCCUUAGGCCUCAAGGGGAUUGUUCCAGCCCUGACUGCCAUCACCCCCUUAACUCCUGGCACCUGCUGCCUGCUCAUAUUAAAAGCAGAACAGCUGAAGUUCUGGAAAUGAACAGAGUUGCCCAUUUGAAGUCCAGCAAUCCUUGCACCACUUCCAGUUCAGUGCUUAUCUUCUUUGUCCACUUCUUUCCCCAUACAGGUGCUUGCUACUUUCUUUUGCUUUCUAAUUUCUUGAUUUUUAAUAUCUUCCUUAAUUUUUUGCCCCGCUUUUAGAGAUAUGGCUCUAUCCUUUGCUCAAUGAUAUUCCAGGUAAAGUAAGUUUAUGUUCUUGAUUUUGUUUCCUUUACAUUUUGGAGAGGCUCUUCAGAAGUACCCCAAAAUAACCCCAACUUUCAUGUUUUCACAUGAAAAAAAAAUCAACUGCAGUAGGCUUCUGGUUUAUUCCUGUUUAUUGUUAUCAAUAUUUCUUUGGUGUUUCCUUGCUAUUUUCAGUCUUGUCUAGAUUGUAAAUAAAUUGGCUCAGGAUCUUGGUUUUUUAUUAUUG
rnacentral:lncRNA from 1 species